rnacentral:lncRNA from 1 species
UAAAUCACACUGGCUGUGCAAAAAUUUAUUAUAUUGUUAGUGUAUAUAACCUAAAUCAUUGAGUAAUUACACGUAAAACUUUUGAGCUAUUACUUCAACUGAUAAUUUGGUCAAAAUAAUGGAAGCUAACAUGUUAUCGCAUAUAAAGUUCACUAAUAGUGUGAAAAAAUUAUUACACUGAACUUAAAAUCCAUUUAACAUCUACCCUAAA